rnacentral:lncRNA from 1 species
CAUCCUCAUUGUAGCAUGUCCUAGUGAGAGCCCUGAGUCUAGGGGUGCAGGGUAGUUGCAGCAAACUUGGGGAAUUCCAUAUGGGUCGGCAAGUUAAUAUUUUAAAACCUGAAUUUCUGGUGUAAUCUGCAGGAACUGAAUAUGGGGACAAGACCACCUGACAAACAGGAUGGCUAAGUUAUCAGUUCUCUGAAGGAUGUCUUCAGUUAUCUCUAUGUACCUUAACUCUGGUUUUGUAGCCUGACUAGCUGUUGUUAAGUGCAAGGAGUGGUGUUGCCAUAGAAUGAUUGCUCAGGAAAACUCUUGUGAUUUUACUCAGACUGACAUCAGUGGCCCUACAAUGCUGGGAAUUUUCAGAUUUUCUUUAUAUAUUCAAUUGCAUAAUAUUAGCUGACUAUAUGUGAAGAAAUUACUCAAGACCAGAGAAAGAAGAAAUUGAAAAAUGAGAUUGGAAUGCUGGUUUAUUGUGCCAAGAAAAGCUCCUCUUUCAACCUGUCACACUAAAGAAAACAAACAAACAAACAAACAACAAAUGAAAUCUUCAUAUCUUCUUACCCUUUACACUGGGGUGUCUUGUCUCCAUACUGGUUGAAAAUCACUCCCAAGUGAAUACUUCUUCUCAGUUGCCAAAUUAAAACAUAAAUAAGAU